AAAUUGAAGAGUUUGAUCAUGGCUCAGAUUGAACGCUGGCGGCAGGCCUAACACAUGCAAGUCGAACGGUAACAGGAAGCAGCUUGCUGCUUCGCUGACGAGUGGCGGACGGGUGAGUAAUGUCUGGGAAACUGCCUGAUGGAGGGGGAUAACUACUGGAAACGGUAGCUAAUACCGCAUAAUGUCGCAAGACCAAAGAGGGGGACCUUCGGGCCUCUUGCCAUCGGAUGUGCCCAGAUGGGAUUAGCUUGUUGGUGGGGUAACGGCUCACCAAGGCGACGAUCCCUAGCUGGUCUGAGAGGAUGACCAG
rnacentral:rRNA from 2 species